rnacentral:tRNA from 1 species
UAUAUCUUAGUGUAGAGUGCACAAAAAGUUUUGAUCUUUUAAGGAAUGGUGCAAGUCCAUUAUAUAUAU